rnacentral:rRNA from 1 species
UACGGAGGUCCCAAGCGUUGUUCGGAUUCACUGGGCGUAAAGGGUGCGUAGGCGGUCGGGUAAGUCUGAUGUGAAAUCUCACAGCUUAACUGUGAAACUGCAUUGGAUACUAUCCGACUCGAGGAAUGGAGGGGAGACUGGAAUUCUCGGUGUAGCAGUGAAAUGCGUAGAUAUCGAGAGGAACACCAGUGGCGAAGGCGAGUCUCUGGACAUUUCCUGACGCUGAGGCACGAAAGCCAGGGGAGCAAACGGG